GUCCGACCAGGAAACAAUGGUAAUGUUAGGCAUUCUGAAAGAAAUGGAUAUUAUGAAGUGCCUUGAUGGCCGUAAGAACAGGAAUGGUGACAUAUUUAAAAGAGUCGCAGAAAGAAAGGGAGAGGAAGGUUACGUACGUUCGGCUGAACAAGUGCGCACCCGCUGGAAAAUCCUAAAAACUAGCUACUAUCGGGCGAAAAAACAAAACAACACCAGCGGUUCUAAUCCUUCAUCUUUCCCACAUUUUGAAAGUAUGCAUGACAUAGUCAUCGACCUUUGUCCAACAUUUCCGAGAAUGGAGUGGACAUUGGGUUUGACGGGGACGAGGAUGCAGCGGAACACUCGAAUUCAGUGGACGAGAGUGUCAUUGGGGAUGAAGUGAGUUCUCUAGCUCGCCAGGAGGAAAUGAACGAGGAUGCAGAUGAAGAUAAUGCAUCAUCAGCUGAUAUGUCUGGUACUCAAGAGGAAAGCUUUUCAGCCACAGCACCAGAUGUCGACCCACCCAGGACACAAGGUGACAUGUUACUUUCGAAGAAAGAAGAAAGCGAGAAGCACUGUGAUCUCUCAGCAUCAGCAGUUCAGGGUACAGAUAAUAAGCUACCGAAUUGGUACAGGACCACUGCCACCCGCAUCUCCAAGGGCACAGGUGCACGUACAAUGACUUCCUGGGGACUCAUGACACCCUCCAUCACGGAACAUAAUUUUACAAAUGAUCUCCGGGACAUGCGAAAAUUUUCUUUCCUUUGGGCGU
ensembl:lncRNA